GAUGAACGCUGGCGGCGUGCCUAAUACAUGCAAGUCGAGCGAACGGACGAGAAGCUUGCUUCUCUGAUGUUAGCGGCGGACGGGUGAGUAACACGUGGAUAACCUACCUAUAAGACUGGGAUAACUUCGGGAAACCGGAGCUAAUACCGGAUAAUAUUUUGAACCGCAUGGUUCAAAAGUGAAAGACGGUCUUGCUGUCACUUAUAGAUGGAUCCGCGCUGCAUUAGCUAGUUGGUAAGGUAACGGCUUACCAAGGCAAAGAUGCAUAGCCGACCUGAGAGGGUGAUCGGCCACACUGGAACUGAGACACGGUCCAGACUCCUACGGGAGGCAGCAGUAGGGAAUCUUCCGCAAUGGGCGAAAGCCUGACGGAGCAACGCCGCGUGAGUGAUGAAGGUCUUCGGAUCGUAAAACUCUGUUAUUAGGGAAGAACAUAUGUGUAAGUAACUGUGCACAUCUUGACGGUACCUAAUCAGAAAGCCACGGCUAACUACGUG
rnacentral:rRNA from 1 species